rnacentral:sRNA from 1 species
CAACAUCUCUGCUACGCCCUUGCAUCGUCCUUGCCCUUCAGUUUUGCUACAACAUGCGCAUUCCUCGUCGUGCAUGAACGCCCCAGUCUAUCCAGUCUAUCCAGUCUGCAGCGUACCGGGUUUCAGGGUUUGUCGCUGUCGAUCGGUGGCAAUGAUUGCUGGAAUUGGAAACACAGAGCCGGACUAAGCCAUGGGGAACAACGGGUAGGGCCAGAGCGAGCGUCUUGCUUUUUGGUCGUCUUCGGAAUUUUUUGGGAAUAUCCCGAGAUGUCUCUAUCGAGUUCUCCGCCGAUUCCGCAAGACAGUUUUCCACUUCGAAGUAUGCUCAAAACGGAAACCCCAGGAAGCAAUUGCGAGAUUCAGCUUCACUCUUAGUGUUAGGGAGGAAAGUACAGUACAAUACCAUCUAGUUAUCUGGACCCUGAACGCUCUAGGUUGUCAACUUUAUUGAGCUACUCUGUGCUGGUAAAAGUAA